GAUGAACGCUGGCGGCGUGCCUAAUACAUGCAAGUCGAGCGGACGGACCAGGAGCUUGCUUCUCUGAUGUUAGCGGCGGACGGGAAAGGAAAACGUGUAUAACCUACCUAUAAGACUCGGAUAACUACGGCAAACCGGAGCUAAUACGGGAUGAUAUUUUGGACCGCAUGCGUCCAAAGUGGAACACGGGUUUGCUGUCACUUAUGGAUGGAUCCGCGCUUCAUUAGCUAGUUGGUAAGGUAACGGCUUACCAAGGCAACGAUGCAUAGCCGACCUGAGCGAGUGAUCGGCCACACUGGAACUGAGACACGGUCCAGACUCCUACGGGAGGAAGCAGUAGGGAAUUUUGCGAAGUGGGAGAAGGCCUGACGGAGCAACGCGGCGUGAGUGAUGAAGGUAUUCGGAUCGUAAAGCUCUGUUAUUAGGGAAGAACAAAUGUGUAAGUAACUGUGGACACAUUGACGGUACCUAAUCAGAAAGCCACGGCUAACUACGUG
rnacentral:rRNA from 1 species